rnacentral:rRNA from 1 species
UGAAUACGAGACGCUACGGCGUCGAAGCAGUCUAUGUCAGACUUCCAAGAAAAGCUCGCAAUGUCAUAAACAAAUAAUGCCUGUACCAUAACCGACACAGGUGGGUAGGUAGAGUAUACUAAGGGGCGCGAGAUAACUCUCUCUAAGGAACUCGGCAAAAUGACUCCGUAACUUCGGGAGAAGGAGUGCCUUAUUUAUAAGGUUGCAAUAACAAGAUCCAAGCAACUGUUUAUCAAAAACACAGGUCUCCGCUAAGUCGUAAGACGAUGUAUGGGGGCUGACGCCUGCCCAGUGCCAGAAGGUUAAAGAAGUUGGUUAGCAUUCGCGAAGCUGAUAACUGAAGCCCUGGUGAACGGCGGCCGUAACUAUAACGGUCCUAAGGUAGCGAAAUUCCUUGUCGGGUAAGUUCCGACCCGCACGAAAGGCGUAAUGAUUUGGAUACUGUCUCGGAGAGGGGCUCGGUGAAAUAGACUUGUCUGUGAAGAUGCGGACUACCUGCACCUGGACAGAAAGACCCUAUGAAGCUUUACUGUAACUUGAAAUUGAAAUUGGACUUUAUUUGCGCAGCAUAGGUGGGAGGCGUUGAGAGUAUUCUUGCGGGAAUAUUGGAGCCAUCAGUGAGAUACCACUCUUGUAAUGUUAGAUUUCUAACUUUGUAUCAUUAUCUGGUCAAAGAACAGUUUCAGGCGGGCAGUUUGACUGGGGCGGUCGCCUCCCAAACGGUAACGGAGGCGUACAAAGGUUUCCUCUGAACGGGUAGAAAUCGUAUCUAGAGUGUAAAGGCAUAAGGAAGCUUGACUGUGAGACCUACAAGUCGAGCAGGGACGAAAGUCGGUCUUAGUGAUCUGACGGUGCUGAGUGGAAAGGCCGUCACUCAACGGAUAAAAGUUACUCUAAGGAUAACAGGCUGAUCUCCCCCAAGAGUUCACAUCGACGGGGAGGUUUGGCACCUCGAUGUCGGCUCAUCGCAUCCUGGGGCGGUAGUACGUCCCAAGGGUUGGGCUGUUCGCCCAUGAAAGCGGUACGCGAGCUGGGUUCAGAACGUCGUGAGACAGUUCGGUCCAUAUCCGGUGUAGGCGUUAGAAUAUUGAGAGGAGCCUUCUUUAGUACGAGAGGACCGAGAAGGACAUACCUCUGGUGUACCAGUUAUCGUGCCAACGGUAAACGCUGGUAGCUAUGUAUGGAGAGGAUAACCGCUGAAAGCAUCUAAGUGGGAAGCCCACCUCAAGAUAAGUAUUCUC